UACAGAGGUGGCAAGCGUUGUUCGGAAUUACUGGGCGUAAAGGGCGCGUAGGCGGCCUUCUAAGUCAGACGUGAAAUCCCCCGGCUUAACCUGGGAACUGCGUCUGAUACUGGGAGGCUCGAGUAUGGGAGAGGGAUGUAGAAUUCCAGGUGUAGCGGUGAAAUGCGUAGAUAUCUGGAGGAAUACCGGUGGCGAAGGCGGCAUCCUGGACCAUUACUGACGCUGAGGCGCGAAAGCUAGGGGAGCAAACGGG
rnacentral:rRNA from 1 species